UGGCGAACGGGUGAGUAACACGUGAGUAACCUGCCCUUAACUCUGGGAUAAGCCUGGGAAACUGGGUCUAAUACCGGAUAGGAGCGUCUACCGCAUGGUGGGUGUUGGAAAGAUUUAUCGGUUUUGGAUGGACUCGCGGCCUAUCAGCUUGUUGGUGAGGUAAUGGCUCACCAAGGCGACGACGGGUAGCCGGCCUGAGAGGGUGACCGGCCACACUGGGACUGAGACACGGCCCAGACUCCUACGGGAGGCAGCAGUGGGGAAUAUUGCACAAUGGGCGCAAGCCUGAUGCAGCGACGCCGCGUGAGGGAUGACGGCCUUCGGGUUGUAAACCUCUUUCAGUAGGGAAGAAGCGAAAGUGACGGUACCUGCAGAAGAAGCACCGGCUAACUACGUGCCAGCAGCCGCGGUAAUACGUAGGGUGCGAGCGUUAUCCGGAAUUAUUGGGCGUAAAGAGCUCGUAGGCGGUUUGUCGCGUCUGUCGUGAAAGUCCGGGGCUUAACCCCGGAUCUGCGGUGGGUACGGGCAGACUAGAGUGCAGUAGGGGAGACUGGAAUUCCUGGUGUAGCGGUGGAAUGCGCAGAUAUCAGGAGGAACACCGAUGGCGAAGGCAGGUCUCUGGGCUGUAACUGACGCUGAGGAGCGAAAGCAUGGGGAGCGAACAGGAUUAGAUACCCUGGUAGUCCAUGCCGUAAACGUUGGGCACUA
rnacentral:rRNA from 1 species